UCAACCCGCGGACGGCACAUGAUACUGCGAGACUAGAGUAAUGGAGGGGGAACCGGAAUUCUCGGUGUAGCAGUGAAAUGCGUAGAUAUCGAGAGGAACACUCGUGGCGAAGGCGGGUUCCUGGACAUUAACUGACGCUGAGGCACGAAGGCCAGGGGAGCGAAAGGGAUUAGAUACCCCUGUAGUCCUGGCAGUAAACGGUGCACGCUUGGUGUGCGGGGAAUCGACCCCCUGCGUGCCGGAGCUAACGCGUUAAGCGUGCCGCCUGGGGAGUACGGUCGCAAGAUUAAAACUCAAAGAAAUUGACGGGGACCCGCACAAGCGGUGGAGUAUGUGGCUUAAUUCGAUGCAACGCGAAGAACCUUACCUGGGCUUGACAUGUAAUGAACAACAUGUGAAAGCAUGCGACUCUUCGGAGGCGUUACACAGGUGCUGCAUGGCCGUCGUCAGCUCGUGUCGUGAGAUGUUUGGUUAAGUCCAGCAACGAGCGCAACCCCUGUUGCCAGUUACCAGCACGUGAAGGUGGGGACUCUGGCGAGACUGCCCAGAUCAACUGGGAGGAAGGUGGGGACGACGUCAGGUCAGUAUGGCCCUUAUGCCCAGGGCUGCACACGUACUACAAUGCCCAGUACAGAGGGGGCCGAAGCCGCGAGGCGGAGGAAAUCCUGAAAACUGGGCCCAGUUCGGACUGUAGGCUGCAACCCGCCUACACGAAGCCGGAAUCGCUAGUAAUGGCGCAUCAGCUACGGCGCCGUGAAUACGUUCCCGGGUCUUGUACACACCGCCCGUCACAUCAUGGAAGCCGGUCGCACCCGAAGUAUCUGAAGCCAACCGCAAGGAGGCAGGGUCCUAAGGUGAGACUGGUAACUGGGAUGAAGUCGUAACAAGGUAGCCGUAA
rnacentral:rRNA from 1 species